AGUUAGCUCAGCGGUAGAGCUAUCGGCUGUUAACCGAUCGGUCGUAGGUUCAAAUCCUACACUG
rnacentral:tRNA from 1 species